CAAGUCGAACGCGAAAGUUCCCUUCGGGGAGCGAGUAGAGUGGCGCACGGGUGAGUAACACGUAGGUAAUCUACCUUUGGAUUGGGAAUAACCACCGGAAACGGUGGCUAAUACCGAAUAAUGCAGCGGCACCUAAUGGUGACAGUUGUUAAAGCGGGGGAUCGCAAGACCUCGCGUCUGAAGAGGAGCCUGCGGCAGAUUAGCUAGUUGGUAAGGUAACGGCUUACCAAGGCAAUGAUCUGUAGCCGGCCUGAGAGGGCGGUCGGCCACACUGACACUGACAUACGGGUCAGACUCCUACGGGAGGCAGCAGUCGGGAAUUUUGGGCAAUGGGCGAAAGCCUGACCCAGCAACGCCGCGUGAAGGAUGAAAUCCUUCGGGAUGUAAACUUCGCAAGAACGGGAAGAAUAAGUAAGAGCUAACAUCUCUUAUGAUGACGGUACUGUUUGUAAGCUCCGGCUAACUCCGUGCCAGCAGCCGCGGUAAUACGGGGGGAGCAAGCGUUGUUCGGAUUUACUGGGCGUAAAGGGCGCGUAGGCGGCCACCGCAAGUCAGUUGUGAAAUCUCUGGGCUUAACCCAGAACGGUCAGCUGAUACUGCGGGGCUAGAGUGCAGAAGGGGCAACUGGAAUUCUCGGUGUAGCGGUGAAAUGCGUAGAUAUCGAGAGGAACACCUGCGGCGAAGGCGGGUUGCUGGGCUGACACUGACGCUGACAGCGCGAAAGCUAGGGGAGCGAACGGGAUUAGAUACCCCGGUAGUCCUAGCCUUAAACGAUGAAUGCUUGGUGUCUGGGGUUUUAUAGUCCCCGGGUGCCGUCGCUAACGCUUUAAGCAUUCCGCCUGGGGAGUAC
rnacentral:rRNA from 1 species